rnacentral:rRNA from 1 species
UACAGAGGGUGCGAGCGUUAUUCGGAAUUACUGGGCGUAAAGCGCGCGCAGGCGGUGCUGUAAGACCGAUGUGAAAUCCCCGGGCUUAACCUGGGAACUGCAUUGGUGACUGCAGCGCUGGAGUAUGGCAGAGGGGGGUGGAAUUCCACGUGUAGCAGUGAAAUGCGUAGAGAUGUGGAGGAACACCGAUGGCGAAGGCAGCCCCCUGGGCCAAUACUGACGCUCAUGCACGAAAGCGUGGGGAGCAAACAGG